rnacentral:rRNA from 1 species
UCCUACGGGAGGCAGCAGUGGGGAAUAUUGCGCAAUGCCCGCAAGGGUGACGCAGCGACGCCGCGUGGGUGAAGAAGCUCUACGGAGUGUAAAGCCCUGUCAGAGGGGAAGAACGGCAUUAAUUCGUAAGGGUUAGUGUGUGACGGUACCCUCAGAGGAAGCUCCGGCUAACUCCGUGCCAGCAGCCGCGGUAAUACGGGGGGAGCAAGCGUUGUCCGGAAUCACUGGGCGUAAAGGGCGUGUAGGCGGGCAAUCGAGUCAGAUGUAAAAGGCGACGGCUUAACCGUAGUAUGUCAUCUGAUACUGGUUGUCUUGAGUUCGAGAGAGGGUGGUGGAAUUCCCGGUGUAGCGGUGAAAUGCGUAGAUAUCGGGAAGAACACCAGAAGCGAAGGCGGCCACCUGGAUCGACACUGACGCUGAGACGCGAAAGCGUGGGUAGCAAACAGGAUUAGAUACCCUGGUAGUCCACGCUGUAAACGAUGGGCACUAGGUGUUGGCUCCGCCACGGGCGGAGUCGGUGCCGCAGCUAACGCAUUAAGUGCCCCGCCUGGGGAGUACGCUCGCAAGGGUGAAACUCAAAUGAAUUGACGG